rnacentral:lncRNA from 1 species
CGGUAAGUCCAGUAAUCAUUAAGAUGAAGGUUAUAGUUUUAGUUUCCAUACAUCGACAUACACAGUAACUCAUAUCUUACAUGCCUUCUUUAUUGUUUUCGGAUCUAACUUGAGAAAGAUGGAAACUUCGUCAUAUCGUAUUGCUCAACAUUCUUGCGAAACGAUGUUGAAAGAGAUUUAUGAAAGACUCUUGAUUGACUCUAAUUAGAAUUUUGAUUCAAGAUGUUAUGCACAUACUACAGUUUGUAAAAGUGUGUUCAUUUUACACACCUCCGCAUAUUUUUUUUUGUCUGAAUAACCAAAACUAAAAUACUUGUUGAAUGAUCCGACACUUAUCAUGGACACGAUUGUAGCUUGUUAAUGUUACAUUCAGGCGUGUGCGAUAUCAAUAUUGUGCCACAUGCAUUACGGUGCGAUAUUAUAUUUGUGCUAAAAUGAGUUUACCAAGAAUGGGGGACUCAUUUUCUUAAUAUAUUGUACUUCAACGAUUCUUCGCUUAUAACAAAUUUAAUCCCACACAUCACAUUUUCAUUUUGCUAUAGUAGGAAUAAUAUUGCUUGAGAAAUGCGUUUGUCUAUUUACGGAAAAAUAGUUAAGGCUGUCGUAUUCUCUUUCCUGCUUGUCGUAUUCUUUACACGCAAUGAUAGUCACUUACACGACAAGAGUGCAAGUUCAGUUCACAGUUUUUGCAACUCUAUUGUAAUAAACUAGUCAAUCAAUUAAAUUGCAAAUAAGUAAUAUUUGUGCAAAAUGGUAAAUAGCUAUGUGAUUGUUGAUAUUUAAACAAUUUAUGGGAACUUGUAAGUUGCGUUUAUCGUACCAAAUAAAUCCCAAAUUUAGAAACUCUCGUAUUUGAUACCUCACACCAAUAAAUACAGUGCUAAAGUAGUUGUAAUGGAAAAUGCCUUUUUCAUGUUAUGAAUGACUCGCACCUUUGCCUCAUCCAUUAUAAGUGUAGAACUCCUUGCUUCAAAGUUCAACAACAUCUAAGGAUCAUUUUCUGAGAAAAUCAAAAGUUACGCAUUCUUUUGACCAUUAUUGCCGAACUAAACAUGUUUCCAAUUGUGGUCAUUUUGCUUUUGGAGAGUUGCACACUACCAACGUUGGCACAUUUGGAUAACUCGCUUGCCGUGGUUGAGUGCAAAAAACAUUUCAGCAUAAAGUCUGCAUUCGACAUGUACAACUAUAUUUUCAAAGGGAAGAAAAUUGGUGACGGUAGUUGCUGGGCUCUUGUGGAGUUGGGAAGACCGUGCCAUAAUGUUUUCGUGAAUAGCACUUUUACUUAUGAACACACAGGGAACAGAACUGUCAUUCAAGCCAGGGCUGACCGAGUAUUUAAUCAAUGUAUAAUUGUAAAUUCCGUCCCACCUCCUUAUUCUCUAUCUUAAACAAAGAAUUGAACUUCUCUAGGACUCAUAAAUUUGUGGGAUGUUUCAUGAGUUGGAAUAAAAUUUUGAUAUAUUUGAUUUGAUGCCUUAUUAUGACUUCACUUUGUUGCUUUAAGUUGGAAACCAUUUUCUUCAUGAUUGAGGAAUGAACAAUAGCAAUAAAACAACUACCAUGCUAAUUCAAAAAACUUCAUGAAACAUCGUAAGUUAUAUAUAUCAGUUUUAUAUUUGGUCGGUCUUUACAUGUACAUUACGUUUCGCUAUUGCAGCUACACUGCGUAUUGAUAUGUCAUGCUUAUCUUUUUAGAAAAUUAUAUUGCUCGACCAAAUUCAGGCAUGUGCAAAACUGUUGACGAGUAUAUGGCUACUCGUAUGAUCGCAAUCUUCCUGGUAACAAUCAUACGUGCCUUCUUUAUUGUUUCCGGAUCUAAGUUGAGAAAGAUGGAAACUUCGCCAUAUCGUACUGCUCAACAUUCUUACAAAAUCAUGUUGAAAUAGAUUUAUGAAAGACUCUUGAUUGACUCUUAUUAAAAUUUUGAUUCAAGUGGUUGUGCACAUACUACAGUUUGUAAAAGUGUGUUCAUUUACACAACACCGCAUCUUUCUUUUUUUUUGUCUGAAUAACCAAAACUAAAAUAUUUGUUGAAUGAUUCGACACUUAUCAUGGACACAACUAAAAGUGUGUUCACUUAUCACGUUACAUUCAGGCGUGUGGGACCUGAGUAUUGUGCCAUAUGCAUUAGGUUGCAAUAUUAUAUUUGUGCUAAAAUGAAUUUACCAAGAAAGAGGGGCUCAUUUUUUUAAAUCAAUUGUAUACUCCAACAUUCUUCGCUUAUAACAAAAUUAAUCUCAUACAUCACAUUUUCAUUUUUCUAUAGUAGGAAUAAUAAUGCUCGAGAAAUGCAUUUGUCUAUUUAUGGCAGAACAAUUAAGGCUAGUCGCGUUCUUUUUCCUGCUUGUCUUAUCCUUUACACGCAAUGAUAGUCACUAACACGACAAGCGCUCAAGUUCAGUUCACACCUUUCGCAACUCUAUUGUAAUAAACUAGUCAAUCAAUUAAAAUGCAAAUAAGUAAUAUUUGUGCGAAAUAAUAAAUAGCUACGUGAUUGUCAAUAUUUAAACAAUUUAUGGGAACUUGUAAGUUGCAUUUAUAAUACCAAAUAUAUCCCAAAUUUAGAAACUCUCGUAUUUGAUACCUCACACCAAUACAUACUUUGCUAUAGUUUUAAAGGAAAAUGCGUUUUUCAUGUUACGAAUGACUCACAUCUUUGCCUCAUCAAUUAUAAGUGCAGAACUCCAUGCGUCAAAGUUCAACAGCGUCCAAGGAUCAUUUCCUGAGAAAAAUCAAAAGUUACGCAUUCUUCCGACCAAUAUGGCCGGACUCAACAUGUUUCCAAUUGUGGUCAUUUUGCUUUUGGCGAGUUGCACACUACCAACGUUGGCGCAUUUGGAUGACUCGUCGGCCGUGAUUGAGUGCAAAAAACAUUUCAGCAUAAAGUAUGCAUUCAACGUGUACAACUAUAUUUUCAAAGGGAAGAAAAUUGGUGACGGUAGUUGUCGUGCUCUUUUGGCAUUGGGAAGGCCGUGCCAUAAUGUUUUCGUCAACAGCACUAAAAGAAAAAUCAAAAUAAAUCGGAAAAGUCAUCAAAUAAAAGACACGUGUCAACACCUGGCAUAAAUGAUUUAAUUCAUCUGAAUAAUAUAUUCAAAAUUAGGCCUUAAAAAUUCGAUCAUCUGGCGAGAAUGGGCUCGGUGCGGCGACUCAUCAUGGACGAUUCGAAUCUUCGCUUCUCGGACUUGUCUUAUCUUAUAAGUCUUCGCUCGAGGUAUGUCUCUCUGCGGCAAGAAGACCGAUGCAUCGUUCAGUCGUAUACUCCCCAUCGUUUUAGCAGGCAAUUAUUUUGUCCACGUGUUCUUGUCUCAUUCAUCGCAUGGAUAUUUGUGUUCACAAUUACGUUUCGCUAUUGCAGCAAAAUUGCGUAUUGAUAUGUCAUGCUUAUCUUUUUAGAAAAUUAUUUUGCUCCCCCAAAUUCAGGCAAGUGAGAAACUGUUGACGAGUAUAUGGCUUCUCAUAUGAUCACAACCUUCCUUGUAACAAUCAUACGUGCCUUCUUUAUUGUCCCCGGAUCUAAGUUGAGAAAGAUGGAAACUUCGCCAUAUCGUAUUGCUCAACAUUCUUAGAAAACGAUGUUGAAAUAGAUUUAUGAAAGACUCUUGAUUGACUCUUAAUAGAAUUUUGAUUCAAGUGGUUAUGCACAUACUACAGUUUGUAGAAGUGUGUUUAUUUUACACACCUCCGCAUCUUCGCUUUUGUUUGAAUAACCAAAACUAAAAUAUUUGUUGAAUAAUUCGACACUUAUCAUGGACACAACUGCAGCUCGUUAAUGUCACAUUAAGACGUGUGGGACAUGAGUAUAGUGCCAUAUGCGCUAGGUUGCGAUAUUAUAAUUGUGCUAAAAUGAGUUUACCAAGAAAAAGGGGCUCAUUUUCUUAUUCUAUUGUACUUCAACGAUUCUUUGCUUAUAAAAAAUUUAAUCUCAUACAUCACAUUUUCAUUUUGCUAUAGUCGGAAUAAUAUUGCUCGAGAAAUGCGCUUGUAUCUUUACAACAAAAUAGUUAAGGCUUGUCGCGUUCUCUUUCCUGCUAGUCAUAUCUUUUACACGCAAUGAUAGUCACUAACACGACAAGCGCGCAAGUUCAGUUCACAGUUUUCGCAACUCUAUUGUAAUAAACAAGUCAAUCAAUUAAAUUGCAAAUCAGUAAAAUUUGUGUGAAAUAAUAAAUAGCUACGUGAUUCUUGAUAUUUAAACAAUUUAUGAGAACUUGUAAGUUGUGUUUAUCGUACCAAACAAAUCCCGAAUUCAGAAACUCUCGUAUUUGAUACAUCACACCAAUAAAUACGUUGCUAAAGUAGUUUUAACAGAAAAUGCGUUUUUCAUGUUACGAAUGACUCACACCUUUGCCUCAUCCAUUAUAAGUGUAGAACUCCUUGCGUCAAAGUUGAAUAGCAUCUAAGGAUCAUUUUCUUAGAAAAUCAAAAGUUACGCAUUCUUUCGACCAUUAUGGCCAACCUAAACAUGUUUCCAAUAGUGGUCAUUUUGUUUUUGGCGACUUGCACACUUCCAACGUUUGCGCAUUUGGAUGACUCGCCAGCCGUGGUUGAGUGCAAAAAACAUUUCAGCAUAAAGUAUGCAUUCGACGUGUACAACUAUAUUUUCAAAGGGAAAAAAAUUGGUGACGGUAGUUGCCGUGCUCUUGUGGCAUUGGGAAAACCGUGCCAUAAUGUUUUCGUUAACAACACUUUUACUUAUGAACACACCGGGAACAGAACUGCCAUUCAAGCCAGGGCUGACCGAGUAUUUAAUCAUUGUAUAAUUGUAAAUUCCGCUCACCUCCUUCUUCUGUAUCUUAAAGAGAGAAUUGAACGUCUCUAGGGCUAAUAAAUUUGUCAGAUGUUUCUUGAGUUAGAAUAAAAUUUUGAUAUAUUUGAUUUGAUGUCUUAUUACGACUUCACUUUAUUGCUUUGACUUGUAAAGCAUUUUCUUCAUUCAUGAGGAAUGAACAAUAGCAAUAAAACAACUACCACGCUAAUUCAGAAAACUUCAGGUAAUAUCGUAAGUAAUACAGAUCAGUUUUAUAUUUGUUCGGUCUUUACAUGUACAUUACUGUAGACAUUGAAAUUUCGAUGAAAUAAAUGUUGACCAAUAAUUACAAUUUCAACGCUCACAUGUCACAUAAGUUUUACACGUAGCAUGUGACUAAAAGAAAAAUUAAAAUAAAUCGAAAAAGUCAUCAAAUAAAGACACGUGUCAACACCUGGCAUAAAUGAUUUAAUUCAUCUGAAUAAUAUAUUCAAAAUUAGGCCUUGAAAAAUUCGAUCAUCUGGCGAGAGUGGGCUCGGUGCGGCGACUCAUCAUGGACGAUUCGCAGCUUCACUUCUCGGACUUGUCUUAGCUUAUAAGUCUUCGCUUGGGAUAUGUUUCUCUGCGCAAGAAGACUGAUGCAUUCAGCCGUAUAGUCCCCAUCGUUUUAGCAGGCAAUUAUUUUGUCCACGUUUUCUUGUCUCAUUCAUCGCAUGAAUAUUUGUGUUUACGAUUUCGUUUCGCCAUUGCAGCUAAAUUGCGUAUUGAUAUGUCAUGCUUAUCUUUUUAGAAAAUUAUUUUGGUCCACCAAAUUAAGGCAAGUGCGAAACUGUUGACGAGUAUAUGGCUUCUCGUAUGAUCGCAAUCUUCCUUGUAACAAUCAUACGUGCCUUCUUUAUUGUUUCCGGAUCUAAGUUGAGAAAGAUGGAAACUUCGCCAUAUCGUAUUGCUCAACAUUCUUACAAAACGAUUUUGAAAUAGAUUUAUGAAAGACUCUUGAUUGACUCUUAAUAGAAUUUUGAUUCAAGUGGUUAUGCACAUACUACAGUUUGUAGAAGUGUGUUCAUUUUACACACCUCCGCAUCUUCGUUUUUGUUUGAAUAACCAAAACUAAAAUAUUUGUUGAAUAAUUCGAUACUUAUCAUGGAUACAACUGCAGCUCGUUAACGUUACAUUCAGACGUGUGGGACACGAAUAUUGUGCCAUAUGCACUAGGUUGCGAUAUUAUAUUUGUGCUAAAAUGAGUUUACCAAGAAAAAGGGGCUCAUUUUCUUAUUCUAUUGUACUUCAACGAUUCUUUGCUUAUAAAAAAUUUAAUCUCAUACAUAACAUUUUCAUUUUGCUAUAGUAGGAAUAAUAUUGCUCGAGAAAUGCAUUUGUAUCUUUAUGGCAAAACGGUUAAGGCUUGUCGCGUUCUCUUUCUUGCUAGUCGUAUCUUUUACACGCAAUGAUAGUUACUAACACGACAAGCGUGCAAGUUCAGUUCACAGUUUUCGCAACUCUAUUGUAAUAAACAAGUCAAUCAAUUAAAUUGCAAAUCAGUAAAAUUUGUGUGAAAUAAUAAAUAGCUACGUGAUUCUUGAUAUUUAAACAAUUUAUGAGAACUUGUAAGUUGUGUUUAUCGUACCAAAUAAAUGCCGAAUUCAGAAACUCUUGUAUAUGAUACAUCACACCAAUAAAUACGUUGCUAAAGUAGUUUUAACGGAAAAUGCGUUUUUCAUGUUACGAAUGACUCGCACCUUUGCCUCAUCCAUUAUAAGUGUAGAACUCCUUGCGUCAAAGUUGAACAGUAUCUAAGGAUCAUUUUUUCAGAAAAUCAAAAAUUACGCAUUAUUUCGACCAUUAUGGCCAACCUAAACAUGUUUCCAAUAGUGGUCAUUUUGCUUUUGGCGACUUGCACACUUCCAACGUUUGCGCAUUUGGAUGACUCGCCGGCCGUGGUUGAGUGCAAAAAACAUUUCAGCAUAAAGUAUGCAUUCGACGUGUACAACUAUAUUUUCAAAGGGAAAAAAAUUGGUGACGGUAGUUGCCGUGCUCUUGUGGCAUUGGGAAAACCGUGCCAUAAUGUUUUCGUUAACAACACUUUUACUUAUGAACACACCGGGAACAGAACUGCCAUUCAAGCCAGGGCUGACCGAGUAUUUAAUCAUUGUAUAAUUGUAAAUUCCGCUCACCUCCUUCUUCUGUAUCUUAAAGAGAGAAUUGAACGUCUCUAGGGCUAAUAAAUUUGUCAGAUGUUUCUUGAGUUAGAAUAAAAUUUUGAUAUAUUUGAUUUGAUGUCUUAUUACGACUUCACUUUAUUGCUUUGACUUGUAAAGCAUUUUCUUCAUUCAUGAGGAAUGAACAAUAGCAAUAAAACAACUACCACGCUAAUUCAGAAAACUUCAGGUAAUAUCGUAAGUAAUACAGAUCAGUUUUAUAUUUGUUCGGUCUUUACAUGUACAUUACUGUAGACAUUGAAAUUUCGAUGAAAUAAAUGUUGACCAAUAAUUACAAUUUCAACGCUCACAUGUCACAUAAGUUUUACACGUAGCAUGUGACUAAAAGAAAAAUUAAAAUAAAUCGAAAAAGUCAUCAAAUAAAGACACGUGUCAACACCUGGCAUAAAUGAUUUAAUUCAUCUGAAUAAUAUAUUCAAAAUUAGGCCUUGAAAAAUUCGAUCAUCUGGCGAGAGUGGGCUCGGUGCGGCGACUCAUCAUGGACGAUUCGCAGCUUCACUUCUCGGACUUGUCUUAGCUUAUAAGUCUUCGCUUGGGAUAUGUUUCUCUGCGCAAGAAGACUGAUGCAUCGUUCAGCCGUAUAGUCCCCAUCGUUUUAGCAGGCAAUUAUUUUGUCCACGUUUUCUUGUCUCAUUCAUCGCAUGAAUAUUUGUGUUUACGAUUUCGUUUCGCCAUUGCAGCUAAAUUGCGUAUUGAUAUGUCAUGCUUAUCUUUUUAGAAAAUUAUUUUGGUCCACCAAAUUAAGGCAAGUGCGAAACUGUUGACGAGUAUAUGGCUUCUCGUAUGAUCGCAAUCUUCCUUGUAACAAUCAUACGUGCCUUCUUUAUUGUUUCCGGAUCUAAGUUGAGAAAGAUGGAAACUUCGCCAUAUCGUAUUGCUCAACAUUCUUACAAAACGAUUUUGAAAUAGAUUUAUGAAAGACUCUUGAUUGACUCUUAAUAGAAUUUUGAUUCAAGUGGUUAUGCACAUACUACAGUUUGUAGAAGUGUGUUCAUUUUACACACCUCCGCAUCUUCGUUUUUGUUUGAAUAACCAAAACUAAAAUAUUUGUUGAAUAAUUCGAUACUUAUCAUGGAUACAACUGCAGCUCGUUAACGUUACAUUCAGACGUGUGGGACACGAAUAUUGUGCCAUAUGCACUAGGUUGCGAUAUUAUAUUUGUGCUAAAAUGAGUUUACCAAGAAAAAGGGGCUCAUUUUCUUAUUCUAUUGUACUUCAACGAUUCUUUGCUUAUAAAAAAUUUAAUCUCAUACAUAACAUUUUCAUUUUGCUAUAGUAGGAAUAAUAUUGCUCGAGAAAUGCAUUUGUAUCUUUAUGGCAAAACGGUUAAGGCUUGUCGCGUUCUCUUUCUUGCUAGUCGUAUCUUUUACACGCAAUGAUAGUUACUAACACGACAAGCGUGCAAGUUCAGUUCACAGUUUUCGCAACUCUAUUGUAAUAAACAAGUCAAUCAAUUAAAUUGCAAAUAAGUAAAAUUUAUGCGAAAUAAUAAAUAGUUACGUGAUUCUUGAUAUUUAAACAAUUUAUGAGAACUUGUAAGUUGUGUUUAUCGUACCAAAUAAAUGCCGAAUUCAGAAACUCUUGUAUAUGAUACAUCACACCAAUAAAUACGUUGCUAAAGUAGUUUUAACGGAAAAUGCGUUUUUCAUGUUACGAAUGACUCGCACCUUUGCCUCAUCCAUUAUAAGUGUAGAACUCCUUGCGUCAAAGUUGAACAGUAUCUAAGGAUCAUUUUUUCAGAAAAUCAAAAAUUACGCAUUAUUUCGACCAUUAUGGCCAACCUAAACAUGUUUCCAAUAGUGGUCAUUUUGCUUUUGGCGACUUGCACACUUCCAACGUUUGCGCAUUUGGAUGACUCGCCGGCCGUGGUUGAGUGCAAAAAACAUUUCAGCAUAAAGUAUGCAUUCGACGUGUACAACUAUAUUUUCAAAGGGAAAAAAAUUGGUGACGGUAGUUGCCGUGCUCUUGUGGCAUUGGGAAAACCGUGCCAUAAUGUUUUCGUGAACAACACAUUUACUUAUGAACACACCGGGAACAGAACUGCCAUUCAAGUCAGGGCUGACCGAGUAUUUCAUCAUUGUAUAAUUGUAAAUUCUGUCCCACCUCCUUCUUCUGUAUCUUAAAGGGAGAGUUGAACUUCUCUACGGCUAAUAAAUUUGUGGGAUGUUUCAUGAGUUAGAAUAAAAUUUUGAUAUAUUUGAUUUGAUGCCUUAUUACGACUACACUUUAUUGCUUUGACUUGUAAAGCAUUUUCUUCAUUAAGGAGGAAUGAACAAUAGCAAUAAAACAACUACCACGCUAAUUCAGAAAACUUUAGGUAAUAUUGUAAGUAAUACAGAUCAGUUUUAUAUUUGUUCGGUCUUUACAUGUAUAUUACUGUAGACAUCGAAAUUUCAAUAAAAUAAUGUUGACCAAUAAUUACAAUUUCAAUGCUCACGUGUCACAUAAAUUUUACAUGUAGCGUGUGACUAAAAGAAAAAUCAAAAUAAAACGGAAAAGUCAUCAAAUAAACACACGUGUCAACACCUGACAUAAAUGAUUUAAUUCAUCUGAAUAAUAUAUUCAAAAUUAGGCCUUGAAAAAUUCGAUCAUAUGGCGGGAGUGGGCUCGGUGCGGCGACUAAACAUGGACGAUUCGCAUCUUCGCUUCUCGGACUUGUCUUAUCUUAUAAGUCUUCGCUCGAGGUAUGUUUCUCUGCAGCAAGAAGACCGAUGCAUCGUUCAGCCGUAUACAGUGGCGAAGCUAGAAAUUUUAGAGGGAAGGGGCGGGAUUUCAAAGGGUAAAAGGUUCUAAAAAUUUUAGACAACCAAAUAGUCGACAAUAUUAAUGUUUGUUAUAAUCCGUACCUAUCAAAUGACCAAAAUACCCCUGGUGAUGGUGUCUUGAAUAAAUAUAGGUUGAGUUGUGACUUUUGGGAAGAGCAAAAUGAUAAAAUGUUGUCAUAUUUGAUAAUCAUUGACUCUCUAUUGCACAUUUCAAGAAUGAUCAGGAGCAAGCUACUACGCCUUUUGUUUUUUAGUUCCAGUUUAUAAAGAGAAGCACUUGUUAUACUUGCUCAUUCACUUAUUUGAAUUCCUUGUAUAGUUUGUUGUACAAACCAAAUUCUAUAUGUAUUAGUCCUAUAUAUAGUUCUUUUAAAUACCAGAGUGCUCCCAAAUCUUAUAUGGUUUAAGAUCAUAAAUUCAUGAAUUUCAUGAUAGGAACUGAUUAAUAAAAAAGUCCAGAUUAAAAGAAACAAAAAGGAGAGAGGAAUAAAAAGAAACAUUUAGCACAAUAAUGCCUAAAUAAUAAUAAGUUGUUUAUUUUUGCAGCUUUUUUUUUUUACUAUUUUACUUAGGGAUGCGUUGCACCUUUACUCUGACUGGAGGUUGAAAAGCAAAAGGUCACAGAGAGGGCCGUGGAUCUGCUAUCCCCUAAGUACAUGUCUCAUCUCUAAUUAUGUCCAUCAACUUAGCCAGAAUUUAACACUGUUAAAUUUAAUAUAUAAAAAUAAAAUAAAAACAUCAACAAUAAAAUAAAACCCCACCACCUGGAGAGUCAUGACUUUCUUCCUCCCCUCCAAUACCACGACCUCCUUAGCCCCAAUCCAACACAUCAGCGGCAACCACCCCACAUCGCCAUGCCCUAGCCUCCUUAGAUCAGGUAUCAUGGUCGUCAGUGGGUGCCUUGGUGGCGUCAAUCUCGUCAAUUUUAGUCAACCAGAAGAUUCUGGAAGAUAGACAGCAGCAGCAGCAGAAACAGAACCGAACAACAGCAACAACAGAACCAGUCGGGUUUUCCAGCGAGGGGAGCGGCUGGACCGCAUUCCAGGCGUGUUUUUCAAACGAGAGGAAGGGCGACCACCACUCCUUGCCCUCACGUGGCUUCGCCACUGGCCGUAUAGUCCCCAUCGUUUUAGCAGGCAAUUAUUUUGUCCACGUAUUCUUGUCUUAUUCAUCGCAUGAAUAUUUGUGUUUACAAUUACGUUUCGCUAUUACAGAUAAAUUGCGUAUUCAUAUGUCAUGCUUAUCUUUUUAGAAAAUUAUUUUGCUCCACCAAAUUCAAGCAAGUGCGAAACUGUUGACGAGUAUAUGGCUUCUCGUAUGAUCACAAUCUUCCUUGUAACAAUCAUAUGUGCCUUCUUUAUUGUUUCCGGAUCUAAGUUGAGAAAGAUGGAAACUUCGCCAUAUCGCAUUGCUCAACAUUCUUCCAAAACGAUGUUGAAAUGGAUUUAUGAAAGACUCUUGAUUGACUCUUAAUAGAAUUUUGAUUCAAUUGGUUUUGCACAUACUACAGUUUGUAGAAGUGUGUUCAAUUUACACAGCUCCGCAUCUUCGUUUUUGUUUGAAUAACCAAAACUAAAAUAUUUGUUGAAUAAUUCGACACUUAUCAUGGACACAAUUGCAGCUCGUUAAUGUUACAUUCAGGCGUGUGAGACACGAGUAUUGUGCCAUAUGCACUAGGUUGCGAUAUUAUAUUUGUGCUAAAAAGAGUUUACCAAGAAAAAAGGGCUCAUUUUCUUAUUCUAUUGUACUUCAACGAUUCUUUGUUUAUAACAAAUUUAAUCUCAUACAUCACAUUUUCAUUUAGCUAUAGUAGGAAUAAUAUUGCUCGAGAAAUGCGGUUGUACCUUUACGGCAAAACAGUUAAGGCUUGUCGCGUUCUCUUUCCUGCUAGUCGUAUCUUUUACACGCAAUGAUAGUCACUAACACGACAAGCACGCAAGUUCAGUUCACAGUUUUCGCAACUCUAUUGUAAUAAACAAGUCAAUCAAUUAAAUUGCAAAUAAGUAAAAUUUGUGCGAAAUAAUAAAUAGCUACGUGAUUCUUGAUAUUUAAACAAUUUAUGAGAACUUGUAAGUUGCGUUUAUCGUACCAAAUAAAUCCCGAAUUCAGAAACUCUGGUAUUUGAUACAUCACACCAAUAAAUACGUUGCUAAAGUAGUUUUAACAGAAAAUGCGUUUUGCAUGUUACGAAUGACUCGCACCUUUGCGUCAACCAUUAUAACUGUAGAACUCCUUGCGUCAAAGUUGAACAGCAUCUAAGGAUCAUUUUUUUAGAAAAUCAAAAGUUACGCAUUCUUUCGACCAUUAUGGCCAACAUAAGCAUGUUUCCAAUAGUGGUCAUUUUGCUUUUGGCGAGUUGCACACUUCCAACGUUUGCGCAUUUGGAUGACUCGCCAGCCGUGGUUGAGUACAAAAAACAUUUCAGCAUAAAUUAUGCAUUUGACGUGUACAACUAUAUUUUCAAAGGGAAAACAAUUGGUGACGGUAGUUGCCGUGCUCUUGUGGCAUUGGGAAAACCGUGCCAUAAUGUUUUCGUGAACAACACAUUUACUUAUGAACACACCGGGAACAGAAUUGCCAUUCAAGCCAGGGCUAACCGAGUAUUUAAUCAUUGUAUAAUUGUAAAUUCCGUCCCACCUCCUUCUUCUGUAUCUUAAAGAGAGAAUUGAACUUCUCUAGGGCUAAUAAAUUUGUGGGAUGUUUCAUGAGUUAGAAUAAAAUUUUCAUAUAUUUGAUUUGAUGCCUUGUUCCGACUACACUUUAUUGCUUUGACUUGUAAAGCAUUUUCUUCAUUCAUGAGGAAUGAACAAUAGCAAUAAAACAACUACCACGCUAAUUCAGAAAACUUCAGGUAAUAUCGUAAGUAAUACAGAUCAAUUUUAUAUUUGUUCGAUCUUUACAUGUACAUUACUGUAAAUAUCGAAAUUUCGAUAAAAUAAAUGUUGACCAAUAAUUACAAUUUCAACGCUCACGUUUCACAUAAAUUUUACACGUAGCAUGUGACUAAAAGAAAAAUCAAAAUAAAUCGGAAAAGUCAUCAAAUAAAGACACGUGUCAACACCUGGCAUAAAUGAUUUAAUUCAUCUGAAUAAUAUAUUCAAAAUUAGGCCUUGAAAAAUUCGAUCAUCUGGCGAGAGUGGGCUCGGUACGGUGAGUCAUCAUGGACGAUUCGCAUCUUCGCUUCUCGGACUUGUCUUAUCUUAUAAGUCUUCGCUCAGGGUAUCUUUCUUUGCAGAAAGAAGAUCGAUGCAUCGUUCAGCCGUAUAUUCCCCAUCGUUUUAGCAGGCAAUUAUUUUGUCCAUGUGUUCUUGCCUCAUUCAUCGCAUGAAUAUUUGUGUUUACAAUUACGUUUCGCUAUUGCAGCUACAUUGCGUAUUGAUAUCUCAUACUUAUCUUUUUAGAAAAUUAUUUUGCUCCACCAAAUUCAGGCAAGUGCGAAACUGUUGACGAGUAUAUGGCUUCUCGUAUGAUCGCAAUCUUCCUUGUAACAAUCAUACGUGCCUUCUUUAUUGUUUCCGGAUCUAAGUUGAGAAAGAUGGAAACUUCGCCAUAUCGUAUUGCUCAACAUUCUUACAAAACGAUUUUGAAAUAGAUUUAUGAAAGACUCUUGAUUGACUCUUACUAGAAUUUUGAUUCAAGUGGUUAUGCACAUGCUACAAUUUGUAGAAGUGUGUUCAUUUUACACACCUCCGCAUCUUCAUUUUUGUUUGAAUAACCAAAACUAAAAUAUUUGUUGAAUAAUUCGACACUUAUCAUGGACACAACUGCAGCUCGUUAACGUUACAUUCAGACGUGUGAGACACGAGUAUUGUGCCAUAUGCACUAGGUUGCGAUAUUAUAUUUGUGCUAAAAUGAGUUUACCAAGAAAAAGAGGCUCAUUUUCUUAUUUUCUUGUACUUCAAUGAUUCUUUGCUUAUAACAAAUUUAAUCUCAUACAUCACAUUUUCAUUUUGCUAUAGUAGGAAUAAUAUUGCUCGAGAAAUGCGUUUGUAUCUUUACGGCAAAACAGUUAAGGCUUGUCGCGUUCUCUUUCCUGCUAGUCGUAUCUUUUACACGCAAUGAUAGUCACUAACACGACAAGCGUGCAAGUUCAGUUCACAGUUUUCGCAACUCUAUUGUAAUAAACAAGUCAAUCAAUUAAAUUGCAAAUAAGUAAAAUUUGUGCGACAUAAUAAAUAGCUACGUGAUUCUUGAUAUUUAAACAAUUUAUGAGAACUUGUAAGUUGCGUUUAUCGUACCAAAUAAAACCCGAAUUUAGAAACUCUCGUAUUUGAUACUUCACACCAAUAAAUACGUUGCUAAAGUAGUUUUAACGGAAAGUGCGUUUUGCAUGUUACGAAUGACUCACACCUUUGCCUCAUCCAUUAUAAGUGUAGAACUCCUUGCGUCAAAGUUGAAUAGCAUCUAAGGAUCAUUUUUUUAGAAAAUCAAAAAUUACGCAUUCUUUCGACCCUUAUGGCCAACCUAAACAUGUUUCCAAUAGUGGUCAUUUUGCUUUUUGCGAGUUGCACACUUCCAACGUUUGCUCAUUUGGAUGACUCGCCGGCCGUGGUUGAGUGCAAAAAACAUUUCAGCAUAAAAUAUGCAUUUGACGUGUACAACUACAUUUUCAAAGGGAAAAAAAUUGGUGACGGUAGUUGCCGUGCUCUUAUGGCAUUGGGAAAACCGUGCCAUAAUGUUUUCGUGAACAACACUUUUACUUAUGAACACACCGGGAACAGAACUGCCAUUCAAGCCAGGGCUGACCGAGUAUUUAAUCAUUGUAUAAUUGUAACUUCUGUCCCACCUCCUUCUUUUGUAUCUUAAAGAAAGAAUUGAACUUCACUAUGGCUAAUAAAUUUGUGGGAUGUUUCAUGAGUUAGAAUAAAAUUUUCAUAUAUUUGAUUUGAUGCCUUAAUACGACUUCACUUUAUUGCUUUGACUUGUAAAGCAUUUUCUUCAUGAAUGAGGAAUGAACAAUAGCAAUAAAACAACUACCACGCUAAUUCAGAAAACUUCAGGUAAUAUCGUAAGUAAUACAGAUCAGUUUUAUAUUUGUUCGAUCUUUACAUGUACAUUACUGUAAACAUCGAAAUUUCGAUGAAAUAAAUGUUGACCAAUAAUUAUAAUUUCAACGCUCACGUUUCACAUAAAUUUUACACAUAGCGUGUGACUAAAAGAAAAAUCAAAAUAAAUCGGAAAAGUCAUCAAAUAAAGACACGUGUCAUUACCUGGCAUAAAUGAUUUAAUUCAUCUGAAUAAUAUAUUCAAAAUUAGGCCUUGAAAAAUUCGAUCAACUGGCGAGAGUGGGUUCGGUGCGGCGACUCAUCAUGGACGAUUCCCAUCUUCGCUUCUCGGACUUGUCUUAUCUUAUAAGUCUUCGCUCAGGGUAUGUUUCUUUGCAGCAAAAAGACCAAUGCAUCGUUCAGUCGUAUCGUCCCCAUCGUUUUAGCAGGCAAUUAUUUUGUCCACGUGUUCUUGUCUCAUUCAUCGCAGGAAUAUUUGUGUUUACAAUUACGUUUCGCUAUUGCAGCUACAUUGCGUAUUGAUAUGUCAUACUUAUCUUUUUAGAAAAUUAUUUUGCUCCACCAAAUUCAGGCAAGUGCGAAACUGUUGACGAGUAUAUGGCUUCUCGUAUGAUCGCAAUCUUCCUUGUAACAAUCAUACGUGCCUUCUUUAUUGUUUCCGUAUCUAAGUUGAGAAAGAUGGAAACUUCGCCAUAUCGUAUUGCUCAACAUUCUUAUAAAACGAUUUUGAAAUAGAUUUAUGAAAGACUCUUGAUUGACUCUUAAUAGAAUUUUGAUUCAAGUGGUUAUGCACAUACUACAGUUUGUAGAAGUGUGUUCAUUUUACACACCUCCGCAUCUUCGUUUUUGUUUGAAUAACCAAAACUAAAAUAUUUGUUGAAUAAUUCGACACUUAUCAUGGACACAACUGCAGCUCGUCAAUGUUACAUUCAGACGUGUGAGACACGAGUAUUGUGCCAUAUGCACUAGGUUGCGAUAUUAUAUUUGUGCUAAAAUGAGUUUACCAAGAAAAAGAGGCUCAUUUUCUUAUUCUAUUGUACUUCAACGAUUCUUUGUUCAUAACAAAUUUAAUCUCAUACAUCACAUUUUCAUUUUGCUAUAGUAGGAAUAAUAUUGCUCGAGAAAUGCGUUUGUAUCUUUACGGCAAAACAGUUAAGGCUUGUCGCGUUCUCUUUCCUGCUAGUCGUAUCUUUUACACGCAAUGAUAGUCACUAACACGACAAGCGUGCAAGUUUAGUUCACAGUUUUCUCAACUCUAUUGUAAUAAACAAGUCAAUCAAUUAAAUUGCAAAUAAGUAAAAUUUGUGCGAAAUAAUAAAUAACUACGUGAUUCUUGAUAUUUAAACAAUUUAUGAGAACUUGUAGGUUGCGUUUAUCGUACCAAAUAAAUCCCGAAUUCAGAAACUCUCGUAUUUGAUACAUCACACCAAUAAAUACGUUGCUAAUGUAGUUUUAACAGAAAAUGCGUUUUUUAUGUUACGAAUGACUCGCACCUUUGCCUCAUCCAUUAUAAGUAUAGAACUCCUUGCGUCAAAGUUGAACAGCAUCUAAGGAUCAUUUUUUUAGAAAAUCAAAAAUUACGCAUUCUUUCGACCAUUAUGGCCAACCUAAACAUGUUUCCAAUAGUGGUCAUUUUGCUUUUGGCAAGUUGCACACUUCCAACGUUUGCUCAUUUGGAUGACUCGCCGGCCGUAGUUGAGUGCAAAAAACAUUUCAGCAUAAAGUAUGCAUUCGACGUGUACAACUACAUUUUCAAAUGGAAAAAAAUUGGUGACGGUAGUUGCCGUGCUCUUGUGGCUUUGGGAAAACCGUGCCAUAAUGUUUUCGUGAACAGCACUUUUACUUAUGAACACACCGGGAACAGAACUGCCAUUCAAGCCAGGGCUGAUCGAGUUUUUAAUCAUUGUAUAAUUGUAAAUUCUGUCCCACCUCCUUCUUCUGUAUCUUAAAGAAAGAAUUGAACUUCACUAGGGCUAAUAAAUUUGUGGGAUGUUUCAUGAGUUAGAAUAAAAUUUUCAUAUAUUUGAUUUGAUGCCUUAUUACGACUUCUCUUUAUUGCUUUGACUUGUAAAGCAUUUUCUUCAUGAAUGAGGAAUGAACAAUAGCAACAAAACAACUAGCACGCUUAUUUAGAAAACUUCUGGUAAUAUCGUAAGUAAUACAGAUCAGUUUUAUAUUUGUUCAGCCUUUACAUGUACAUUACUGUAGACAUCGAAAUUUCGAUGAAAUAAAUGUUGACUGAUAAUUACAAUUUCAACGCUCACGUGUCACAUAAAUUUUACACGUAACGUGUGACUAAAAGAAAAUUCAAAAUAAAUCGGAAAAGUCGUCAAAUAAACACACGUGUCAACACCUGACAUAAAUGAUUUAAUUAAUCUGAAUAAUAUAUUCAAAAUUAGGCCUUAAAAAUUUUGAUCAUCUGGCGGGAGUGGGCUCGGUGCGGCGACUCAUCAUGGACGAUUCGCAUCUUCGCUUCUCGGACUUGUCUUAUCUUAUAAGUCUUCACUCGAGGUAUGUUUCCCUGCAGCAAGAAGACUGAUGCAUCGUUCAGCGGUAUUGUCCCCAUCGUUUUAGCAGGCAAUUAUUUUGUCCAUGUGUUCUUGUCUCAUUCAUCGCAUGAAUAUUUGUGUUUACAAUUACGUUUCGCUAUUGCAGAUAAAUUGCGUAUUGAUAUGUCAUGCUUAUCUUUUUAGAAAAUUAUUUUGCUCCACCAAAUUCAGGCAAGUGGGAAACUUUUGACGAGUAAUUUGCUUCUGGUAUGAUCACAAUCUUCCUUGUAACAAUCAUCUUGAUUGUUUCUGGAUCUAGGUUGAGAAAGAUGGAAACUUCGCCAUAUCGCAUUGCUCAACAUUCUUGCAAAACGAUGUUGAAAUAGAUUUAUGAAAGACUCUUGAUUGACUCUUAAUAGAAUUUUGAUUCAAGUGGUUUUGCACAUACUGCAGUUUGUAGAAGUGUGUUCAUUUUACACACCUCCACAUCUUCGUUUUUGUUUUGAAUAACCAAAACUAAAAUAUUUGUUGAAUAAUUCGACACUUAUCAUGGACACAACUACAGCUCGUUAAUGUUACAUUCAGACGUGUGAGACACGAGUAUUGUGCCAUAUGCACUAGGUUGCGAUAUUAUAUUUGUGCAAAAAUGAGUUUACCAAGAAAAAGAGGCUCAUUUUCUUAUUCUAUUGUACUUCAACGAUUCUUUGCUUAUAACAAAUUUAAUCUCAUACAUCACAUUUUCAUUUUGCUAUAGUAGGAAUAAUAUUGCUCGAGAAAUGUGGUUGUAUCUUUACGGCAAAACAGUUAAGGCUUGUCGCGUUCUCUUUCCUGCUAGUCGUAUCUUUUACACGCAAUGAUAGUCACUAACACGACAAGAGCGCAAGUUCAAUUCACAGUUUUCGCAACUCUAUUGUAAUAAACAAGUCAAUCAAUUAAAUUGCAAAUAAGUAAAAUUUGUGCGAAAUAAUAAAUAACUACAUGAUUGUUGAUAUUUAAACAAUUUAUGAGAACUUGUAAGUUGCGUUUAUCGUACCAAAUAAAUCCCGAAUUCAGAAACUCUCGUAUUUGAUACAUCACACCAAUAAAUACGUUGCUAAAGUAGUUUUAACGGAAAAUGCGUUUUUCAUGUUACGAAUGACUCGCACCUUUGUCUCAUCCAUUAUAAGUGUAGAAUUCCUUGCGUCAAAGUUGAACAGCAUCUAAGGAUCAUUUUUUUAGAAAAUCAAAAGUUACGCAUUCUUUCGACCAUUAUGGCCAACCUAAACAUGUUUCCAAUAGUGGUCAUUUUGCUUUUGGUGAGUUGCACACUUCCAACGUUUGCGCAUUUGGAUGACUCGCCGGCCGUGGUUGAGUGCAAAAAACAUUUCAGCAUAAAGUAUGCAUUCGACGUGUACAACUAUAUUUUCAAAGGGAAAAAAAUUGGUGACGGUAGUUGCCGUGCUCUUGUGGCAUUGGGAAAAUCUUGCCAUAAUGUUUUCGUGAAUAGCACUUUUACUUAUGAACACACCGGGAACAGAACUGCCAUUCAAGUCAGGGCUGACCGAGUAUUUAAUCAUUGUAUAAUUGUAAAUUCCGUCCCACCUCCUUCUUCUGUAUCUUAAAGAGAGAAUUGAACUUCUCUAGGGCUAAUAAAUUUGUGAGAUGUUUCAUGAGUUAGAAUAAAAUUUUGAUAUAUUUGAUUUGAUGCCUUAUUACGACUUCACUUUAUUGCUUUGACUUGUAAAGUAUUUUCUUCAUGAAUGAGGAAUGAACAAUAGCAAUAAAACAACUACCACGCUAAUUCAGAUAAUUUCAGGUAAUAUCGUAAGUAAUACAAAUCAGUUUUAUGUUUCUCUGCGGCAAGAAGACUGAUGCAUCGUUCAGCCGUAUAGUCCCCACCGUUUUAGCAGGCAAUUAUUUUGUACACGUGUUCUUGUCUCAUUCAUCGCAGGAAUAUUUGUGUUUACAAUUACGUUUCGCUAUUGCAGCUACAUUGCGUAUUGAUAUGUCACGCUUAUCUUUUUAGAAAAUUAUUUUGCUCCACCAAAUUCAGGCAAAUGCGAAACUGUUGACGAGUAUAUGGCUACUCGUAUGAUCGCAAUCUUCCUUGUAACAGUCAUACGUGCCUUCUUUAUUGUUUCCGGAUCUAAGUUGAGAAAGAUGGAAACUUCACCAUAUCGUAUUGCUCAACAUUCUUACAAAAUGAUGUUGAAAUGGAUUUAUGAAAGACUCUUGAUUGUCUUUUAUUGGAAUUUUUAUUCAAGUUGUUAUGCACGUACUACGGUUUGUAGAAGUGUGUUCACUUUACACACCUCCGCAUCUUUCUUUUUUUUUUGUCUGAAU